CAGAGAAACUGUCUUUUUCAUCUGAUAUCAUGGGUGAGAGAAGAAAUGGAGCUCGAGAGACAAAAGCCCAGUGCUCCUCUCCCAUAAUGUCUUUAGUACAUUCCUCACCUCUGCAGCAGUGAGCCCAAACGCUUCCUGUGAUCCUUCGUGAGAUUCUUUUGUACCUACUUCAUCCCAGUGAAACUUUCCCCACCCCUCUGUAUUUCUGCCUGUCUGCUCUCCCUCGGGUGGCAGCGCUGGCUGUGGGUUCUGAGUGCUGCUGCAGCCCUGGCAAAGGGAUGCUCCAUGCCCAAGACUUGCAUGCCAUGGGGGGCUUUGGGGCAGCUCAGAGCUCCCCUUGACCUCCCUGGAAAAAGCUCUGCUGUGUCGUGGUGCAGGGUGUUUAGGGGUGAAUAAAAGUAACAACCUUUUCAGUUUUA